rfam:Canis lupus familiaris chromosome 23, whole genome shotgun sequence.
AGGGGGACCCUGUCCGCCGGAUCCUGGGCUGUGUCCUGGCACCCUGUGCUCCGGGGCCUGCGCUGUUGGAUUCGCGCUCCCGCCCCGCAGCCCCCU